GAGUUUGAUCGUGGCUCAGAACGAACGGUGGCGGCGUGGAUAAGACAUGCAAGUCGAACGGGAUAUUGUUUGUAGCAAUACAAGCGAUGUUCAGUGGCGCAAGGGUGCGUAACACGUGGGCAAUCUGCCCUGGAGCGCGGGAUAGCUCGGCGAAAGUCGAAUUAAUACCGCAUGUGGCUAUUGGAGGAUUCUCCGAGACGCUAAAGAUGGCGCAAGCUAUCGCUCCUGGAUGAGCCCCGCGGCCCUAUCAGCUAGUUGGUGAGGUAACGGCUCACCAAGGCUAUGACGGGUAGCUGGUCUGAGAGGACGACCAGCCACACUGGAACUGAGACACGGUCCAGACACCUACGGGUGCAGCAGUCGAGAAUUUUCUCAAUGGGGGAAACCCUGAAGGAGCGACGCCGCGUGGAGGAUGAAGGUUUUCGGAUUGUAAACUCCUGUCAUUUGGGAACAAACCUUUCAUUUAACUGAUGAAAGACUGAUAGUACCAGAAGAGGAAGAGACGGC
rnacentral:rRNA from 1 species